GACGAACGCUGGCGGCGUGGAUUAGGCAUGCAAGUCGAACGGUAUCAUCCUUUCGGGGGUGAGAGAGUGGCGAACUGGUGAGUAACACGUAGGUUAUCUACCCUCAAGACGGGGACAACCCAGGGAAACUUGGGCUAAUACCGGAUGUGAGCAACUUUUAGUUGUUUGAAAGGUGGCGUAAGCUGUCGCUUGGGGAUGAGCCUGCGUCCUAUUAGUUAGUUGGUGAGGUAACGGCUCACCUAGGCAAUGAUAGGUAGGCGGCCUUAACGGGUGGUCGCCCACACUGGGAUUGAGAUACGGCCCAGACUCCUACGGGAGGCAGCAGUCGAGAAUAGUCUACAAUGGUCGGAAGACUGAUAGUGCGACGCCGCGUGAACGAUGAAUCCCUUCGGGGUGUAAAGUUCUUUUAUAUGUGAGCAGUGCUUCUUAUAUUAACAGUAUGGGGAGAGAGAUAUUAGCAUAUGAAUAAGCAACGGCUAACUCCGUGCCAGCAGCC
rnacentral:rRNA from 1 species